UACGUAGGGGGCUAGCGUUGUCCGGAAUCAUUGGGCGUAAAGGGUGCGUAGGCGGCGCGGUAAGUCGGGUGUGAAAUCUUGGAGCUUAACUCCGAAACUGCAUUCGAUACUGGCGUGCUUGAGGACUGGAGAGGAGACUGGAAUUCAUGGUGUAGCAGUGAAAUGCGUAGAGAUCAUGAGGAAGACCAGUGGCGAAGGCGGGUCUCUGGACAGUUCCUGACACUGAGACACGAAGGCCCAGGGGAGCAAACGGG
rnacentral:rRNA from 1 species